ACAGACCGGUUGACCUCGGAUCAGGUAGGAAUACCCGCUGAACUUAAGCAUAUCAAUAAGCGGAGGAAAAGAAACCAACAGGGAUUGCCCUAGUAACGGCGAGUGAAGCGGCAACAGCUCAAAUUUGAAAUCCGGCCCCCGGGCCCGAGUUGUAAUUUGUAGAGGAUGCUUCGGGCGCGGCGCCUUCCGAGUCCCCUGGAACGGGGCGCCACAGAGGGUGAGAGCCCCGUACGGUUGGACGCCUAGCCCGUGUGAAGCUCCUUCAACGAGUCGAGUAGUUUGGGAAUGCUGCUCAAAAUGGGAGGUAAGUUCCUUCUAAAGCUAAAUACCGGCCAGAGACCGAUAGCGCACAAGUAGAGUGAUCGAAAGAUGAAAAGCACUUUGAAAAGAGGGUUAAAUAGCACGUGAAAUUGCUGAAAGGGAAGCGCUCGUGACCAGACGCGCGCCGGGCGGAUCAUCCAGCGUUCUCGCUGGUGCACUCCGCCCGGCGCGGGCCAGCGUCGGUUCUCGCGGGGGGGCAAAGGCGCCGGGAACGUAGCUCCUCCGGGAGCGUUAUAGCCCGCGCUCACG
rnacentral:rRNA from 1 species